rnacentral:rRNA from 1 species
UACGAGGGGGCAAGCGUUGUUCGGAAUUAUUGGGCGUAAAGGGCGCGUAGGCGGUGCGGUAAGUCACCUGUGAAACCUCUGGGCUUAACUCAGAGCCUGCAGGCGAAACUGCCGUGCUGGAGUGUGGGAGAGGUGCGUGGAAUUCCCGGUGUAGCGGUGGAAUGCGCAGAUAUCAGGAGGAACACCGGUGGCGAAGGCGGGUCUCUGGGCCGAUACUGACACUGAGAAGCGAAAGCGUGGGGAGCGAACAGG